rnacentral:tRNA from 1 species
CGCGGGGUGGAGCAGCCCGGUAGCUCACCACUAAAAAUUGGAGGUCGCAGGUUCAAAUCCUGCCCCCGCGG